rnacentral:lncRNA from 10 species
AAAGUCCAAGAUCAUGGUGCCUGAGGAUUCAGUGUCUGAUAUAUUGCUGCCUGUAACCAGACAAAAAGCCCUGAUGCCUUUCUGGAUAGGUGAUGAGAAAAUAGCAUGAGAACAACGUAAAUUUAAAUUUGAAAUAUAUUCUCGCAAUGUAACUCUACCUAGUAAAUUUUUGAAUUUACUCAAAUAAACUUACUGUGCUUCUCAAUGACUACUACAGGAGAAAAGUGUUUUCAUGAUUAUCACGUGUAUCCAAGUCUGUUCUGAAU